AAACUUGAAAGUCAGUAAUAAUCAGAAACACACUGAGAUAAUAAUGCUAAAAAUAUGAUUUGCCUAAACUUCAAACCCAUAUUUGUACGACAAUAGUUUUCUAGCUCGUCAUCUAUACGUGUAGUCUCGACUGAUGAAGAAUUCAAAUACAAAAUCGGCGGCAUUGAGCGCCUUAAGUCAGUGUUCAGCAACCAAUCCCAACCUCACAAGCUUGUUUACGAAAUACGUAGACAAAACAAGUGUUUCAUCUUGGAACUCUGUCAUUGCUGACUUGGCUCGCAACGGGGACUCGCUUGAAGCUCUUCGAGCUUUCUCUUCUAUGCGAAAGCUUUCUCUUGUCCCAAACCGGUCCACCUUUCCAUGUGCUAUUAAAUCUUGCUCUGCACUUUUUGAUUUACACUCGGGCAGGCAAGCUCACCAACAGGCUUUCGUAUUUGGCUUACAAUCAGACCUUUUUGUUUCUUCUGCUCUCAUUGAUAUGUACUCAAAAUGUGGCUACUUGGUGGACGCAAGAACAUUGUUUGAUGAAAUUCCUCAAAGAAAUGUGGUUUCUUGGACUAUUAUGUUUACUGGGUAUGUCCAAAAUGGACUUUCGCAUGAUGCCCUAAUACUUUUUAAGGACUUCUUGAAGGAAGAAAGUGAAACUGAGGGAGAAAAAGAGGCGGGUAUUGAUUCGGUUGCCUUGGUAUCAGUUCUGUCUGCUUGUUCUCGUGUUUCGGGGAAGGGUAUAACAGAAGGACUUCAUGGUUUUAUAGUAAAAAGGGGAUUUCAAGGGGAUACACGCGUUGGUAACACUUUGAUGGAUGCGUAUGCCAAGUGCGGGGAGGUUGGUGCCUCUAGAAAAGUGUUUGAUGAGAUGGAUGAGAAGGAUGUUAUAUCUUGGAAUUCCAUGAUUGCUGUGUAUGCUCAAGUUGGAAAGUCAGCCGAGGCAAUGGAAUUGUUCUUUGCCCUUGUUAGGGAUAAGAAUGUUCACUAUAAUAGUGUAACUUUAUCUGCUGUAUUAUUGGCUUGUGCACAUUCUGGAGCUCUGCAAGUUGGAAAGUGUUUGCAUAAUCAGGCCAUGAAGAUGGGUCUUCAGGAAACUGUAUAUAUAGGUACUUCAGUCGUUGACAUGUAUUGUAAAUGUGGUAGAAUUGAAGCAGCAAAGAGGGCAUUUAAUCAAAUGAAAGAAAAGAACGUGAAGUCUUGGAGUGCCAUGGUUGCUGGUUAUGGAGCAAAUGGUCUUGCGAAAGAAGCUUUGGAUGUAUUUUGCUGUAUGAAUAGUUCUGGGGUAAAACCAAACUACAUAACCUUUGUGUCAGUCCUGGCAGCUUGUAGUCAUGCUGGCAUGUUGGAUGAAGGAAAGUAUUGGUUCAGUGCCAUGGAGAAUAGAUUUGGUAUUGAACCGGGGGUGGAGCAUUACGGUUGCAUGAUUGAUCUUCUUGGUCGUGCUGGUAGACUUGGGGAGGCUUAUAAUCUGAUAAAGAAAAUGAAGGUAAAGCCUGAUUUUGUGAUAUGGGGUUCUCUAUUAGCUGCGUGCAGAAUGCACAGAAAUGUGGAGCUCGGGGAGAUCUCUGCAAGGAAAUUGUUUGAACUAGAUCCAAAAAAUUGUGGAUAUUAUGUAUUGCUUUCAAACAUAUAUGCGGAUGCUGGAAGGUGGGAUGAUGUGGAAAGAAUGAGAUUACUUAUGAAAAAUCGCGGGCUAAUGAAGCCUCCGGGAUUUAGUCUGGUUGAAAUCAAAGGAAGGGUUCAUGUGUUUUUGGUUGGAGACAUGGAGCAUCCUGAACAUGAGAGGAUUCAUGCAUAUAUGGAGAAAUUAUAUGUGGAGCUUGAGGAAGCAGGUUACAUGCCCAAUAUGACAUCAGUUCUUCAUGACGUGAAUGAGGAAGAGAAGGGAAUGUCAAUUAGAGUUCACAGUGAAAAGUUGGCAGUGGCAUUUGGUCUUAUGAACUCAGUCCCUGGAGCAGCAAUUCAGGUAAUUAAGAAUCUUCGUAUUUGUGGUGAUUGUCAUACAAUGAUAAAACUCAUUUCCAAGAUUCGAAAACGAGAAAUUGUGGUGAGAGAUUCCAAAAGAUUUCACCACUUUAAAGAUGGCUGCUGUUCUUGUAAGGAUUAUUGGUGAUCAGUAUUGAAAACGAGAAAGGCAUUUUGUUACUACAUCCCUAGCACCCCCACUCUGAAUUAUUUGAACUAAAGAAUUACAUCUUCUGCAAGAAUGGAAAGAGUUUUGGGAGUGAACUGGAUGAAAUGGUGGAGGGAGCUGGUUGUCAAAAUUUCUCUCAUACUCCCUGGAAAAUGUGAAGCACACAAUAAAAAAAUCGCCGCUCUGAUAGACAAGGUUAGCUCAUUGAAGAAGUAAUGACCUUCCAUGGAGUUCCGAAAGGUGACUUUCAAAAUAGGAAUACCAUUAUAUAACAAGUUCAAGUAUUCAGCUUGUGCUGCAUCUUGUAUGCCUCAUGUGGAUGUAGCAAGAAACUUUUUGUUUUAAAUUUGGUUGUAUGUGAUCUCCAUUUGGAGCUAAACAUGAGGUGCCGACUUAAGGAUCUUCGUUGAAGAUCCAUGGGAUGCAAUGUGCAAAUUUGUAUAGUGGUAUUGCGUUGAAAAGUACCAAAUAUAAACGGGAUCAUCUCACAACUCUGCAAGGGCGUCCAACGGUCAUGUUUAGUAUGGUCGAGAAGGCAUUAUAUCAGGAAUGUAGAUAAUUUACUGUAUAAAUGUGACCUUGAUGGGAAGGAGUUGGUGAUCCAUGUAUCCAUGUCUUCUUCUGGUGAAAUUUAACACUAGAAUCGGAGCACGAAGCAUAUCUCACAACUCUGCAAGGGCAUCCAACGGUCAUGUUUAGUAUGGUCGAGAAGGCAUUAUAUCAGGAAUGUAGAUAAUUUACUGUAUAAAUGUGACCUUGAUGGGAAGGAGUUGGUGAUCCAUGUAUCCAUGUCUUCUUCUGGUGAAAUUUAACACUAGAAUCGGAGCAAGAAGCAUCUAUCUGCAUCAAUGUUUGAUGGCAUAGAUCAUGGUUCCGUCGUAUUCCCUUCUGCAGUAUAGAAUGCUGGGACAUACAUGUUGCUUCUAUAUAUAUAUACAUGAAACCUCGCAGCAUAGCUUCAAAGAGCUUAGUUACAAGAUGGUUGUCAAUGAGGUCAUGAUCUGUAUUUGGGUUGAUCAGAAGGCAGUCCAGUUAUGCAGCAGUUCUCGGAAUUAUAGUUGAUCAUCUAGCUCGGGUUCGACUGGUCAUGAACUUAUAACUGUUUUACAUGUUUAGCUUUACAGAUGCGCAAAGCCAUACUAUAUGAGAAUCAAAAAUACCUUGCAUAAACAAACACAGCUAUUAUCACACAGAUACAGCGUGUGCAUAUCCUUUGGGCCUUGAAUAUGGUCAGCCAUGUAUGGUGGUGGGUUUUUUUUUUUUUUUUUUUUUUUUUAUAAAUCUUGUGGAUUAUAUAUAUUGAUUCCAUUUGUUUAAAUUUGGCCACAUAAAUUUUAGUCUUUUCACACAACAGGUGUGGAUCUUGAUUAUACUUGUUUAGUAGACAUUGGACAUUAGUUCUUGCAAUUUGUGUAGGUUAUGAUGCAUAACUGAGUUCAGGCAUCCAGCUGAGGCAUUCUCCUGUGACGAUUGAUGUUUAGCGAACUUUGCAAGAAUCCAGACGUUUAUGUUCUUGAGGUGCGUCUCAUUUACAUGUUUGUGAAAUCGACAUAUUUCUCUGAAAAAUCAUACGUAAGAGAUCUGUAUUUUAGUAGAUAUCAGUAUGCCAUGGUUGUAUAAUCUGCAAUUCUCUCAUGCAAAUCUGACCUGGACCUGGUAUUUUGUUUCUUC